AUUGAACGCUGGCGGCAUGCCUUACACAUGCAAGUCGAACGGUAACAGGUCUUCGGAUGCUGACGAGUGGCGAACGGGUGAGUAAUACAUCGGAACGUGCCUAGUAGUGGGGGAUAACUACUCGAAGGAGUGGCUAAUACCGCAUGAGAUCUAAGGAUGAAAGCAGGGGAUCGCAAGACCUUGUGCUACUAGAGCGGCCGAUGGCAGAUUAGGUAGUUGGUGGGAUAAAAGCUUACCAAGCCGACGAUCUGUAGCUGGUCUGAGAGGACGAUCAGCCACACUGGGACUGAGACACGGCCCAGACUCCUACGGGAGGCAGCAGUGGGGAAUUUUGGACAAUGGGCGAAAGCCUGAUCCAGCAAUGCCGCGUGCAGGAUGAAGGCCUUCGGGUUGUAAACUGCUUUUGUACGGAACGAAAAGCCCCGGGUUAAUACCCUGGGGUCAUGACGGUACCGUAAGAAUAAGCACCGGCUAACUACGUGCCAGCAGCCGCCGUAA
rnacentral:rRNA from 1 species